rnacentral:rRNA from 1 species
UGAACGCUGGCGGCGUGCCUAAUACAGGCGAGUCGAGCGAACGGACGAGAAGCUUGCUUCUCUGAUGUUAGCGGCGGACGGGUGAGUAACACGUGGAUAACCUACCUAUAAGACUGGGAUAACUUCGGGAAACCGGAGCUAAUACCGGAUAAUAUUUUGAACCGCAUGGUUCAAAAGUGAAAGACGGUCUUGCUGUCACUUAUAGAUGGAUCCGCGCUGCAUUAGCUAGUUGGUAAGGUAACGGCUUACCAAGGCAACGAUGCAUAGCCGACCUGAGAGGGUGAUCGGCCACACUGGAACUGAGACACGGUCCAGACUCCUACGGGAGGCAGCAGUAGGGAAUCUUCCGCAAUGGGCGAAAGCCUGACGGAGCAACGCCGCGUGAGUGAUGAAGGUCUUCGGAUCGUAAAACUCUGUUAUUAGGGAAGAACAUAUGUGUAAGUAACUGUGCACAUCUUGACGGUACCUAAUCAGAAAGCCACGGCUAACUACGUG